AUGCCUGGCCCCAUAGUGCACAACGAGACCACAGCAACCAACCUUGGAGGUUUUGUGACCAUCCUCGCAAACCUCACCCGUCGUGCCUAUGCAUUAGAGGAGCCACCAGAAUAUGUUGUGUACCAAGGACCCAUGAGCGGUGAGAGCCGUCAAUUCUGGGCCACUGUACACAUCUACGGUAGGGGUCUAGCACCCGAGCGCCCCUAUAGGUUCACCGGAAGAACAACUUCCUUUGAGCUUCAAGCCAUCCAACUAGCUGCUCGAGAGGCUAUAGUUCAUCUCAGGCACUUGUCGCCCAGAGUUAACUGUCGCUCGUUCCACUACUACCCCAGACGUGAAGGGUAUGGUAGACCACCCCAAGUUGCCAACGGAGAUCACGAGACAGAUCCUGCAUUGUUGCACCUGGUGCGCUAUGUAAGUGCACUAGAGGAACUGUGCGAUCAAAUCACUAUUGAUUUAAUUGCAGCUCGUGGAGAGCUGGUUCGUCAAGACCUGGCGAGAGAAGAAAACGAGCCCAACGCCGACAACCCAGUCGUGCUGUUUGGACAACCGAUCGGGACCCCGAGAUCAGCUCCAGCCAUCAGCCGAGAUGCUUUGAUGACCUCAGAAGUGCUUCGUCGCCUUUUGGGAGCACACUCCAACGGGGUUGUGGCCAAAAAUCCCCGUGAUGGUCAUCAUCACUACCCCGACCCUGCAGUUCCUCCGCCAUCUCCGACUAAUCCCGGCAGUGUGACACGUGGAGAAGCCUCGACAUCCACCAGGCACGCCCGUUUAGACAUAAACGAGGUAUACUAA
rnacentral:rRNA from 1 species